rnacentral:rRNA from 1 species
UACGGGGGGGGCAAGCGUUGUUCGGAAUUACUGGGCGUAAAGGGCUCGUAGGUGGCCAACUAAGUCAGACGUGAAAUCCCUCGGCUUAACCGGGGAACUGCGUCUGAUACUGGAUGGCUUGAGUUUGGGAGAGGGAUGCGGAAUUCCAGGUGUAGCGGUAGAAAUGCGUAGAUAUCUGGAGGAACACCGGUGGCGAAGGCGGCAUCCUGGACCAACACUGACGCGUGAGGAGCGAAAGCCAGGGGAGCAAAGCGGG